GCGGGUGUAGUUCAAUGGUAGAACUUCAGCCUUCCAAGCUGAUUGCGUGGGUUCGAUUCCCAUCACCCGCU
rnacentral:tRNA from 1 species